CCUACGGGUGGCAGCAGUGGGGAAUAUUGCACAAUGGGGGAAACCCUGAUGCAGCGACGCCGCGUGAGUGAAGAAGUAUUUCGGUAUGUAAAGCUCUAUCAGCAGGGAAGAAGAAGACGGUAACUGAUUAAGAAGGCCCGGCCAAAUACGUGCCAGCAGCCGCGGGAAUACGUAGGGGGCAAGCGUUAUCCGGAUUUACUGGGGGUAAAGGGAGCGUAGACGGUUGCACAAGUCUGGAGUGAAAGGCCGGGGCUUAACCGCGGAACGGCUUUGGAAACUGGGUAGCUAGAGUGCAGGAGAGGCAAGUGGAAUUCCUAGUGUAGCGGUGAAAUGCGUAGAUAUUAGGAGGAACACCAGUGGCGAAGGCGGCUUACUGGACUGUAACUGACGUUGAGGCUCGAAAGCGUGGGGAGCAAACAGGAUUAGAUACCCCUGUAGUC
rnacentral:rRNA from 1 species